GACCAAAGAUCCCCAUAUUAAUUUUUUACUAUCUUUAGGCUUCAUUCGGAAUUGCGGGGAGAUUACAUUAUGUACGGUAAGAAACGAUGAUGUAAAAAUACCUUAUUUAUUUCUGUAUGUAAUAUUGCGUUUCGCAUAUUGCACUUAGUCGGUUAUAAUAUAUUUUUUACUGUUCUAUCGGAGAACGCAGAAGCAUAUCCCUGCAUAUUUUUUCUCAACUCCAUUCUAUCUAAUAACGUUAGAUAAACCUCAAUACCCAACUAAGCCUUAGCAUAUGCUUAUUUUGUGCAUUUCAUGAAAAAAUACUUAUAAUUAUUCUGUUCAAAUAAUACUUGUGUUGAAUCUAACCAAACUAUAUAAUUAAUAAAAUAAAAUUGAAAAAUCAAAGUUGAGAGUGAAAAGGAAAUAAAGAAAAAAAAAAAA
rnacentral:lncRNA from 1 species